AUUGAACGCUGGCGGCAGGCUUAACACAUGCAAGUCGAGCGGAGAUGAGGUGCUUGCACCUUAUCUUAGCGGCGGACGGGUGAGUAAUGCUUAGGAAUCUGCCUAUUAGUGGGGGACAACAUUCCGAAAGGAAUGCUAAUACCGCAUACGUCCUACGGGAGAAAGCAGGGGAUCUUCGGACCUUCCGCUAAUGGAUGACCCUAAGUCGGAUUAGCUAGUUGGGGGGGUAAAGGCCUACCAAGGCCACGAUCUGUAGCGGGUCUGAGAGGAUGAUCCGCCACACUGGGACUGGGACACGGCCCAGAAUCCUACGGGAGGCAGCAGUGGGGAAUAUUGGACAAUGGGGGGAACCCUGCUCCAGCCAUGCCGCGUGUGUGAAGAAGGCCUUAUGGUUGUAAAGCACUUUAAGCGAGGAGGAGGCUACUGAGACUAAUACUCUUGGAUAGUGGACGUUACUCGCAGAAUAAGCACCGGCUAACUCUGUGCCAGCCGCCGCGGUAAGAC
rnacentral:rRNA from 1 species